rnacentral:rRNA from 1 species
GACGAACGCUGGCGGCGUGCUUAACACAUGCAAGUCGAACGGAAAGGCCCUGCUUUUGUGGGGUGCUCGAGUGGCGAACGGGUGCGUAACACGUGAGUAACCUGCCCUUGACUUUGGGAUAACUUCAGGAAACUGGGGCUAAUACCGGAUAGGAGAUCCUGCUGCAUGGAGGGGGGUGGAAAGUUUCGGCGGUUGGGGAUGGACUCGCGGCUUAUCAGCUUGUUGGUGGGGUAGUGGCUUACCAAGGCAUUGGCGGGUAGCCGGCCUGGGAGGGUGACCGGCCACAUUGGUACUGAGAUACGGCCCAGAGUCCUACGGGAGGCAGCAGUGGGGAAUAUUGCACAGUGGGCGGAAGCCUGAUGCAGCAACGCCGCGUUCGGGAUGACGGCCUUCUGGUUGUAAACCGCUUUCGCCUGUGACGAAGCGGGAGUGACGGUAAUGGGUAAAGAAGCACCGGCUAACUACGUG